rnacentral:SRP_RNA from 2 species
GCCGAGCUCGGUUGCAUGGGCUUGUAACCCAAGUGGGGGCAUUAAGGUGGUGUUGAUGUUUGGUGCGGACUCUGAGUUUGGGUAUGUGGUGUGCCCUUGCUAGCCUUACCCGUUCCAAGUUGGUAGUGGCAUGUGCGGCCAAAGCAAAAGCUCGGGCUUCACUGGACCUGAAGUGGCCUGUAUGGCGUGAGGUUGGCUUCACAGAGCAGCGAUCACUGCCCGCUUCCAAUGGUGGACGGAUAACAAGCCGCUACAUCACGGGCCCGACCUGGACCCCGAGGAGCCGGCGGCGAGAAUCG